GGGUAACAGACACAGAACUCUCAGGAAUGAACAGGGGGUGGUUACAAGCCUGGCAUGGGAAUGCUCCAAUGAUGAAUGAGGAACAGACACCAACCUCAACUUCUACCUCGAUGAACUGAAAUGUGUGAGGAUCAGUGCAAUGAAUGGAGAUUAACUGCUAGAGACACUGUAAGAGAGGACUGGAGGAAUUGUUUUUGCUUGACCUCAGUUGCCUACUCAGGGUAGAAUCUGGUGCUUUCAUCAAGCCUUGGCCCUUGGGAGUCCAGUUGUGACAGGGAACUAUGUGCAGCCUGGCAGAGCAGAGAGGAAGAGCAGUCUUCUAAAACCUGAGCACCCCUUCUUGUGACACAAAUCCUUGGAAGCAGCAUGCACAUCCUGAAGAAAGCAGCAGUUCCAGUGCCUGGCUCUUCAUAACCCAAGUCUGAAGCCUCAGAGAGAAGCAUGGGGAAUGCUUACUGAGCCUGCCCAGGAAGGCCAGGUGGUCCUUACAGGAAGACAGGUGAGCUGAGGUCACCACAGCUAGACCUGUCACACUGGGUGAACAUUUUGCUGAUGACUCGCAGCAGUGCUACAGGAAUGAGUGAGAAACCAGCAAGCACAACGGAAGAAAACAAAUGAGGGAGAAAAAAAAAUCAUCUUCUUGGAGACGUGUGGGUCUUAGCACAUCUCAAGAUCAGGGCACCUUGUCCUGUGUCAAAGCAGGGAGGAAGGGGCUGUCGCUGCAGGCCUCGGACUUUCUGACUUUUGCAGCCCUGGAUCUUCUUCAGUUCAAUGAUUCUCUCCCAAGAGUUUCCUAGCCCCUCUGAGCCACAAUGGAUCCUCUCCAGCCUCCUCUUGUGGUACUUCCUUGAUCUGCAUCCGCUCGGAGAAAAACAGCCAGGAGGAGAUGCCCAAGAGGCAACUGCUGAGAGUUUACAGGGAACUUCGGCAUGUAGCAGUACUUGGAGAUGUGCACAAACAUGCCUGCAGACUGAAAACGCUUGUCUCAACUUAAUUUGUCGUCGUAUUUCGGGAGAUUUAGUGGGACUGGAGCAUAGGCAUUUCACCGAGCUUGGAAUUAUCCUGACCCAGCAAAAAGCAAGCUCGCACUCCCUUUGUGUGCAAAACUUUCCUGCGGCUGCUGAGAACAAACGCUGGCAGUAGCUGCAGGACCUGGACAAACGCGUGCUCCCGCUGCUCCUGUCCCCGCCUGCCGAGCAAUGGAGGAGCCUGUGGGGCACAUCAAGGCUGCUCAACCGCGGGCGUGCCCCUCGAAGCGCACGAGAAAAAU